rnacentral:rRNA from 1 species
GACGAACGCUGGCGGCGUGCUUAACACAUGCAAGUCGAACGGUGAUGCUCCAGCUUGCUGGAGUGGAUCAGUGGCGAACGGGUGAGUAACACGUGAGCAACCUGCCCCAGACUCUGGAAUAAGCGCUGGAAACGGCGGCUAAUACUGGAUACGAAACUGGCCCGCAUGGGCAUGGUUUGGAAAGUUUUUCGGUGUGGGAUGGGCUCGCGGCCUAUCAGCUUGUUGGUGAGGUAAUGGCGCACCAAGGCGACGACGGGUAGCCGGCCUGAGAGGGCGACCGGCCACACUGGGACUGCGACACGGCCCAGACUCCUACGGGAGGCAGCAGUGGGGAAUAUUGCACAAUGGGCGAAAGCCUGAUGCAGCGACGCCGCGUGAGGGAUGACGGCCUUCGGGUUGUAAACCUCUUUCAGCAGGGAAGAAGCGAAAGUGACGGUACCUGCAGAAGAAGCACCGGCUAACUACGUG